UACGAAGGGGGCUAGCGUUGUUCGGAAUCACUGGGCGUAAAGCGCGUGUAGGCGGAUCGUUAAGUCGGGGGUGAAAUCCUGAGGCUCAACCUCAGAACUGCCUUCGAUACUGGCGAUCUUAGAGUCCGGGAGAGGUGAGUGGAACUCCUAGUGUAGAGGUGAAAUUCGUAGAUAUUAGGAAGAACACCAGUGGCGAAGGCGGCUCACUGGCCCGGUACUGACGCUGACUAUGCGAAAGGCGUGGG
rnacentral:rRNA from 1 species